rnacentral:rRNA from 1 species
UGCCGGCAGAAGACCCGCGAAC